AGAGUUUGAUCCUGGCUCAGGACGAACGCUGGCGGCGUGCCUAAUACAUGCAAGUCGAGCGGAUCUCUGAAGGAGCUUGCUUCUGAUGAGAUUAGCGGCGGACGGGUGAGUAACACGUAGGCAACCUGCCCCUUAGAUCGGGAUAACAUUCGGAAACGAAUGCUAAGACCGGAUAGACAAUGUGGCCGCAUGGCCGGAUU
rnacentral:rRNA from 1 species